UGUGUGCAAGUACGGUGAGACAAGUCAUAAAGGUUCACAUGACUGCUGUACUGACAGGUGUGACCCUUUUAUUCAGUGUGGAGCCUGCAGGGGCUGACAGAUGAUAUGGAGUGUUUAAGUCACUAUAACAGCAGUUUUGUUUUGUAUCUGAUGAAAUUUUUAAGGAUGCUAAUGAAGGUCAGUAUUGACUUUUUUUUAAGGAGGCAAGAUAAAAGAUAUUUUGUAGCUUUAUUCAUCCAUAUACAGUAUGUACAGUAUUAGUAACAAGGGGAACCCACCAACCUCCUUGUAAUCUCCUAAAUUUCAUUUUCAUCUUCCUUUUUCCAUUCUCCCUUUAUUGCAUAUUUUCAGAAGUUCUUAUAUCCUUACCCACUGUCUUUUUUCUCUUCACCUCCCCUUUCCUUCUGUUCCAUUUCCUGGUGAUGGCACAGAAUUAUCAACAACAAGCUUUUGAUGGCUGAGGAUGAAGCCCGAAUGAACCAGAUACAGGCCAGGUCAUUAGCAGCAGGCAUGGCCGCCGUGCCCUCCAAGCCCGGGUGUUGAACCUGAGACCAAGCCAGAGUGAGGGCAGUGUCAUUCCUCCUGUCAACUACCCCAACUUCUACUCCCAACACUACCACAGCAAUGAGCGGUCUGGUGUGGUGGCUGAGGAUUCUUUUGAAGAGGACAACGCUUCUGCUUCAUCUGAGCAGGUGGUGAGCUACAGCUACCUGGCUGCACCUCAAGGCCAAAGCCACUCCAAAGAUGUGGUCUAUGGGUCUAGUGCAGCAGCCAAGCCUCCUUCCUCUGGCCACAGCUUCUCUGCCAGAUCUCCAACUCUUGGCCAGACACUUUCACUGGAAACUCAGAAAUCUGGUCAUACAGCAGCUCCUGGCCAUGCCUCAGACCAUACUCACCUCAGCACUACACCACCUGUUAUUACUGCCUUCCAGUCCUCAAAAUUAUCUCACAUUUCCUCUUCCCCAUUAGUCCAUUCCUCAUCAUUCUCUGCACCAUCACCUUUUUUCUCCUAAUCCUUCUCACCUUCUGCUCACUCAUCAUCUCCCCCACAACCAUCACUCCCUCCUGCCUCUCCAUUUACUCAUCCUGAAGCCAUAUUUGCCAUGCACCAAACUUCUGCCACAGUUCACCCUGCUGAUCCCAGCCAAUUUAUCAUCAAGGACUCCACUUUCCAGGAGGCUCUGGAAUGUAACUCCCACAGAUGGCAGGGAAACACUUCAUAUCUUCCCUCCCACAACAGCGAUGCACUUAAUGAAUUGGGCCAAGAUAAUUAGUGAAAGCUUUCUGUGUUAAAGAGAUGCAGCUAGUGAGCCAAUAUAUAUACUGAUCGUUCAAUUAAUCCUUUAUGUCAUAAAACUUCUCUGAAAAAAUCUAGUGAAUAAUUUUUCCUCUAUCACUGCACUGUCCUUGAUCUAAAUUACAUAUUAAAACUACACAUGAUAAUGUAAUGAUCAGUGUGCUUGGCUCACAAACCACAUAUAUAUAUAUGCUUGGCUUUUGUCUCCAAACUCUCCCCCAUAGAGAGACUGUAUUAACCUGCAGAAAUAAAGCUAUCAUUCAGGGAAACUGGUUUGUUUGCCAAACAAACAUUACAUUGCUGAAUAUUCUGUGGCACAAAAUGCUUUGUCAGGAAUUGUGGCAAUGAUAUUUCAAUCCUUGUCUUUGUAUCCUACAAUUUGUAUGCUGAACAUAAACCUUAUCAACAAGU